AGGACGAACGCUGGCGGCGUGCUUAACACAUGCAAGUCGAGCGAGAAACCUUCGGGUUUCUAGCGGCGGACGGGUGAGUAACACGUGGGUAACCUGCCUCAAAGAGGGGGAUAGCCUCCCGAAAGGGAGAUUAAUACCGCAUAAAAUCAUAGCUUCGCAUGAAGCAAUGAUUAAAGGAGUAAUCCGCUUUGAGAUGGACCCGCGUCGCAUUAGCUAGUUGGAGAGGUAACGGCUCACCAAGGCGACGAUGCGUAGCCGACCUGAGAGGGUGAUCGGCCACAUUGGAACUGAGACACGGUCCAGACUCCUACGGGAGGCAGCAGUGGGGAAUAUUGCACAAUGGGCGAAAGCCUGAUGCAGCAACGCCGCGUGAGUGAAGAAGGUCUUCGGAUUGUAAAACUCUGUCUUUUGGGACGAUAAUGACGGUACCAAAGGAGGAAGCCACGGCUAACUACGUGCCAGCAGCCGCGGUAAUACGUAGGUGGCAAGCGUUGUCCGGAUUUACUGGGCGUAAAGGAUGUGUAGGCGGAUAUUUAAGUGAGAUGUGAAAUCCCCGGGCUCAACUUGGGGCGUGCAUUUCAAACUGGAUAUCUAGAGUGCAGGAGAGGAAAGCGGAAUUCCUAGUGUAGCGGUGAAAUGCGUAGAGAUUAGGAAGGACAUCAGUGGCGAAGGCGGCUUUCUGGACUGUAACUGACGCUGAGGCAUGAAAGCGUGGGGAGCGAACAGGAUUAGAUACCCUGGUAGUCCACGCCGUAAACGAUGAGUACUAGGUGUAGGAGGUAUCGACUCCUUCUGUGCCGCAGUUAACACAAUAAGUACUCCGCCUGGGAAGUACGGUCGCAAGAUUAAA
rnacentral:rRNA from 1 species